GACGCUGAAACACCGGUUCUCGUGCGAUCACCGAAGUUAAGCAACGUCGAGCCUGAUCAAUACCUAGAUGUGUUACAGGUUAUGAAUAUCAGGUGCUGUAAG